UACGAAGGGGGCAAGCGUUGUUCGGAAUCACUGGGCGUAAAGCGUACGCAGGCUGCUUGUUAAGUUAGAGGUGAAAUCCCAGGGCUCAACCCUGGAACUGCCUUUAAUACUGGCAAGCUAGAGUCCGUGAGAGGAGUGUGGAAUUCCUAGUGUAGAGGUGAAAUUCGUAGAUAUUAGGAGGAACACCAGUGGCGAAGGCGACACUCUGGCGCGGUACUGACGCUCAUGUACGAAAGUGUGGGGAGCAAACAGG
rnacentral:rRNA from 1 species